UACGUAGGGGGCUAGCGUUGUCCGGAUUUAUUGGGCGUAAAGAGCGUGUAGGCGGCCAGGUAGGUCUGCUGUGAAAACUCGAGGCUCAACCUCGAGAUGUCGGCGGAAACCAUCUGGCUAGAGUCCGGAAGAGGAAAGUGGAAUUCCUGGUGUAGCGGCGAAAUGCGCAGAUAUCAGGAGGAACACCGAUGGCGAAGGCAGCUCGCUGGGACGGUACUGACGCUGAGGAGCGAAAGCGUGGGGAGCGAACAGG
rnacentral:rRNA from 1 species